rnacentral:ribozyme from 13 species
UCUAGAAAAAUGGCAACAAGCAUGUUGGAAGCUCUGGGUUAAAAGAGUGAAAAAGAGAGCAUGAUGCAUUUUUGUGAUACUAGUAUGGUUUUUAAUUGAUUCUAUCAAAAAGGGAGUAGCGUGAAAUGAAAUAAAUGAG